rnacentral:rRNA from 1 species
UACGGAGGGUGCAAGCGUUAUCCGGAUUUACUGGGUUUAAAGGGUGUGUAGGCGGGUCUUUAAGUCAGUGGUGAAAUCUCCGAGCUUAACUUGGAAACUGCCAUUGAUACUAUUGAUCUUGAAUUCUGUUGAGGUGGGCGGAAUAAGUCAUGUAGCGGUGAAAUGCAUAGAUAUGACUUAGAACACCAAUUGCGAAGGCAGCUCGCUAACAGAGAUUGACGCUGAGGCACGAAAGCGUGGGGAUCAAACAGGAGU